UCAAAUAGACCUCCUUCGUCUCUAAUGCGCCGGAAAUCACCUUCGGCGGCGGCGGAGGUGAUAUCACCUUCAAACUCACAUAAUCAGAACCGAAAUUUCACCCUUAACCAUAAUCUCCCCUUGUCUCCACCCAAUUUCCAGCCAAUGUUUUGAAAUCCAAGAUUAGAUCCAAGAACCCUAGAUAUUUCAACUCAAAUUAAAUGAAGAUUAUGCACAGAUUCGCAACCAAAGCUUAAGGCUAAUGAUCUAGAGGAUGUAGGUUACACUAUGGUAACAAAAUUGUGAUGAAAUGAGAAGAAGAGUUAUACCUCUAAAGAGAAGGUUUGCUCCGGUGAGUCGUUCAGAUGAGGAAGAAGCUUGUACCAAGGAAAAUCACUUGAAUCAGGUGAUAGGAUUUGUUGGAUACAUGGUGGUGACCUGCAGGAGAAGGUAAACUUGUUAGACUGGUAAUGACCUGUUGAUGUAGGUUUUACUAGAUGAUG